rnacentral:rRNA from 1 species
AACCUGCCUGGCAUUAAGUUGUUGGGUUUGGUGAAAACCAUCGUUUACUGUGAAAAAAUUAGAGUGUUCAAAGCAGACUUAUGUCGUUGAAUACAUUAGCAUGGAAUAAUAAUAUAGGACUUUUGUACUAUUUUGUUGGUUAGGUGCAAAAGUAAUGAUCAACAGGGACAGUUGGGCAUAUUCGUAUUUCGUUGCUAGAGGUGAAAUUCUUGGAUUUCCGAAAGACGAACUACUGCGAAAGCAUUUAUGAAGGAUGUUUUCAUUAAUCAAGAGCGAAAGUUAGGGGAUCGAAGAUGAUUAGAUACCAUCGUAGUCGUCAUAGCUGUUUCCUG